UACGUGAAGUUAUCAUUUCGGUCGUACUCUCAUCAGACCAGCGAGACCCAGAGAAGAAGCCUGAAGACUAAGUUUUGUCAAGAUGAACACUCUUCUCGCCGUUGCUGCUUUGAUUGCUGUAGUGGAAUCAUCCCCAUACCAUUAUGUACAGCCGCCGACUCAACCUCCAUGCCCUUCUGUGGCCAAUAACUUUUGCGAUUCUCGCGCUGACCAAUACUACGGGCAUCCUAGCGAUUGCGGAUGCUUUAUACGGUGCGUUAGUAACGUUAUCCAUGGGCCGCAAGUAUGUGCUGCUGGUACUGUSUUUUGUCAARAGMWRCAGACGUGUAUUCAYGGGUAGGAGACUUGAUCUGUUAUUAUUAUCUCAUUUUAAUUCAUGGAUUUCUUUCAGUGUGUCCAAUUAUGCYGCAAAUCGGCGUGUAUUCAGUUUUAUUAUAGCUAUCAUAGUACAAUCUAUGACCGGUAAACGCACGGAUGCGAACGUGCUAUAAAUCAAAAGGCUGAAAAUCUCUAUAAAUCUCUYACUCCGGUGGCGAUUUCAGGGCAUGGGUUUAGUUUCUCAAAAUAAUGCUGUUAUUAAAAGAAUAAGCGCACUUAUUCCUUGAACAUGGUGAAGCAUACACACUAAAACAGAAUAUGUUCUAAAUUAUGAUAGUGUUUCCCAUUGUCUAACAAUAUCCUCUAGUAGUAAUUAGUACUAUUUGUUUUGUACUUCAAAGUGAGGCUAAGGUUCACAUGAUGGUGGUAGUGAUCAUGUUGAUCGCGAUGAUGACGAUGAUGAUGACGAUUAUAAUAUAUUGUGGCUGAUAUAGUACAGCGAAAUGCAUUGUUUCUAAUGUCAGCUUUCUAUUAGGAAUCGCGCCACAUGUACCCUAGCCUCUUGGGCAACUUGCGAAGUCCCACMUACAGUUACCGUCCAAACACCCACACGUCCUGCGUCAAAUUGCACCGGCUACAAUSAAGAUCCACUUAAUUUCUGUGGAAAUCAAUAUUGCGCUGGCAAGCCAAACAGUUACUACCACCACUGCACUUACCACUUCGCGUAUCCAAACGAUUGCACAUGCUUCUAUCAGUGCCGUGCCGUUGACACAAUCACACACAUCAUGCCUUGYCCUUAUGGUACUCAUUGGAGUCAAGCCGACUUGACCUGUGUUCACGGAGCGUGUUAGAAAAAGCCAACUACRCAAAGUUAUUAGGUAGGUUUAUAACAUCAGUGAGUUAUUACUGUAAAUAUGCUGAUAGAAACUAACCAUAAAAUAAGAAACGAAGUAUAGCACAAAGUUACUGCUCAAUAAUUAUCAAGAGACGUGGUUGAG